UGUAACGGCCAUACCACGUCGGAGCACCAGUUCCCGUUUGAUCACUGAAGUUAAGCGACGUCGGGCGCGGUUGGUACUUGGAUGGGUGACCGCUUGGGAACCCCGCGUGCCGUUAUUU
rnacentral:rRNA from 1 species